rnacentral:misc_RNA from 1 species
UUUCCGUAGGUGAACCUGCGGAAGGAUCAUUAACGAAUUCGAACUGGAAUCUGGAGUUGAAGCUGGUCGUCAGACAUCGUGCUCACUUCACUUCCGUUCAUUCAUUCUUCUCAACACCUGUGAACUCGAUGUAGGCUGAGAAAUCGGUCUAUGUAUACUUUUUACUACACCCUUUAAAGUGUAACGAAUGUCUAGAAAUAAACGGGACGCAUGUGCCCUUUAAUUCAAAAUCUAUACAACUUUCAACAACGGAUCUCUUGGCUCUC